rnacentral:tRNA from 1 species
GCCUGGCUGGCUCAGUCGGUAGAGCAUGUGACUCUUGAUCUCAGGUUGUGAGUUUUCGAGCCCCACAUUAGGUG